rnacentral:rRNA from 1 species
GAUGAACGCUGGCGGCGUGCCUAACACAUGCAAGUCGAGCGAAGCGAUCGCUAUGAAGUUUUCGGAUGGAUUAGCGAUUGACUGAGCGGCGGACGGGUGAGUAACGCGUGGGUAACCUGCCUCAUACAGGGGGAUAGCAGUUAGAAAUGGCUGCUAAUACCGCAUAAGCGCACAGCAUCGCAUGAUGCCGUGUAGAAAACUCCGGUGGUAUGAGAUCGGACCCGCGUCUGAUUAGGUAGUUGGCGGGGUAACGGCCCACC